ACAUCGAACACUGUAAAACCCACUGUGCAGACAGGACCAAUGGUGACAAUAUAAGACCAUGCUGAUCUUCAUGGACGGUUCAAACUUAUCCUGCCCAGGAACGGCUGAAAACGUUGACAGUCAAUCAACAGGGGGACAUGGAAAGAGAGGAUUGGAAGUGAAAUAGAGGGUUUUCCGGGACAGCCAUAGGGGAAGGACUGUGGCAUCUUCAUGUUGAUGACUGAUAUGCCAACUCUGAGGAAGUGGUGGUGUAUAUUGCUAGCGGACAAUUUCAAACUUGGGUGCAUGGAAAGAGUUUGCCCAUUGGACAGAUGAGGCAAAAGCAUUACAGCGGGGUGAAGUGCCACCAGUCUAUCAGUUACAGAAGUGAAAUUUGAAUAUAAUUGCUGAGGUCAGCUUUUAAAGACUUUUUAGUGUCCAUUACUCUGACGCACUUUUGAACAUGCCCCCCUUUAUUCACUGAUUUAUUUUUAGGAAGAGGUGCAACCACAGCUCCUUCAAGUUAGUGGUGGCCCACUCCAA